rnacentral:rRNA from 1 species
AGUGAACGCUGGCGGUAGGCCUAACACAUGCAAGUCGAACGGCAGCACAGGAGAGCUUGCUCUCUGGGUGGCGAGUGGCGGACGGGUGAGGAAUACAUCGGAAUCUACUCUGUCGUGGGGGAUAACGUAGGGAAACUUACGCUAACACCGCAUACGACCUACGGGUGAAAGCAGGGGAUCUUCGGACCUUGCGCGAUUGAAUGAGCCGAUGUCGGAUUAGCUAGUUGGCGGGGUAAAGGCCCUCCAAGGCGACGAUCCGUAGCUGGUCUGAGAGGAUGAUCAGCCACACUGGAACUGAGACACGGUCCAGACUCCUACGGGAGGCAGCAGUGGGGAAUAUUGGACAAUGGGCGCAAGCCUGAUCCAGCCAUACCGCGUGGGUGAAGAAGGCCUUCGGGUUGUAAAGCCCUUUUGUUGGGAAAGAGAUCCAGCUGGCUAAUACCCGGUUGGGAUGACGGUACCCAAAGAAUAAGCACCGGCUAACUUCGUGCCAGCCGCCGCAGUAA